UGGGCGUAAAGAGCUCGUAGGUGGUUUGUCGCGUUGUUCGUGAAAUCUCACGGCUUAACUGUGAGCGUGCGGGCGAUACGGGCAGACUUGAGUACUGCAGGGGAGACUGGAAUUCCUGGUGUAGCGGUGGAAUGCGCAGAUAUCAGGAGGAACACCGGUGGCGAAGGCGGGUCUCUGGGCAGUAACUGACGCUGAGGAGCGAAAGCGUGGGGAGCGAACAGGAUUAGAUACCCUGGUAGUCCACGCCGUAAACGGUGGGUACUAGGUGUGGGUUUCCUUCCUUGGGAUCCGUGCCGUAGCUAACGCAUUAAGUACCCCGCCUGGGGAGUACGGCCGCAAGGGCUAAAACUCAAAGAAAUUGACGGGGGCCCGCACAAGCGGCGGAGCAUGUGGAUUAAUUCGAUGCAACGCGAAGAACCUUACCUGGGUUUGACAUGCACAGGACGCCGGCAGAGAUGUCGGUUCCCUUGUGGCCUGUGUGCAGGUGGUGCAUGGCUGUCGUCAGCUCGUGUCGUGAGAUGUUGGGUUAAGUCCCGCAACGAGCGCAACCCUUGUCUCAUGUUGCCAGCGGGUAAUGCCGGGGACUCGUGAGAGACUGCCAGGGUCAACUCGGAGGAAGGUGGGGAUGACGUCAAGUCACCAUGCCCCUUAUGUCCAGGGCUUCACACAUGCUACAAUGGCCGGUACAAAGGGCUGCGAUGCCGCGAGGUUAAGCGAAUCCUUUUAAAGCCGGUCUCAGUUCGGAUCGGGGUCUGCAACUCGACCCCGUGAAGUCGGAGUCGCUAGUAAUCGCAGAUCAGCAACGCUGCGGU
rnacentral:rRNA from 1 species